rnacentral:lncRNA from 1 species
CCCGCGGAGAGCGGCUCGGAGGGGCGAGGACAGGGUGAACCCGCCCCAAAUGAACGCCGCGGGCCAGGCUCGGUUCCCGGCUAGCACGCGGAGCAGCGCGGUUCGCGCGGGGCGCCCUGUCUGUCCCUUCACCCCGCCGGACCCUCUGCGGGUGGAGCUGGACGCAAGCUGUCAAGCCCCGAGGAGGUGGUGGGUGGUGUAUUUCUGACCUCCAAGUCCUCGUUUCACAAGGGAGACCUAAAGGCUAGCAUGUGUCUGGGGACAGAAGAGCCCCGCUCUGCUGUAGAUGCACAACAAAUUAUGGACCCCACAGAAAGAGCCUUAUGACUCUUCAUAAUUUCCCCAUAACUCCUGCGCUGUGAUCCACUCUGUUCAUAGGCAGUUACCUUUUUCUGUUCAAUAACUUCAUUCUCCGGUUGCACAGACUUGGAGCCAAGCGGUCAUGUGCCCAAAGCCUUCUCUGUUCUACUAGAUCAACUGAUCUACCUGAAAAAGAAAACACCAUUCCUUACAAAAGCAAAAUCACAUCCAGUGCUGGGGUGCCUCAUCGUGAGAACAGAUAUACUGGAUCAAACCGGAGUGGUCUCUGUGAAUGGACUGCUAGACUGGGUGGAACUGCUAGAAGGUAGCUGGAAGCUUUGGUGGACUGCAAGAACACAGACACCUCAGGGAGAAAGUUUUCUCCAUCAGCUCCUUAAUCCAAAUUCAAAACUUGUCUCUUUGAGUGAAUGACUACCACAGGAGUAUCAGGCAAAAGGGAAGAGAAAUCUUCUCUUAAAACAUCAUAAGC